GUUUUGCCAUUGCACCUUGGAUCUUAUCGAGGUGACCUCAGAUUUGGUCAAGAAUUUUUGCUGUUACAUCUCAAAUCUUAUCUAGGUGACCUCAGACCUGAUCAAAAAUUUUUGCCAUUGUACCUUGGAUCUUAUCGAGAUAACCUUAGAUCUUGUUGAGGUGACCUCGAACCUGAUCGAAGGUUUUUGCCAUUGCACUUUAGAUCUUAUCGAGGUGACCAA
rnacentral:lncRNA from 1 species